CGGCACAGGGAACACCCAUGUGUGCUCCGUAGCUCUCUUGGUCCUUUACCUGUGCCAGAGGAAUGUGUGGUCUGUACCUCUGCAUCGGAAGAGCUGCCAAUUCCUCCACAUGUAUUCAACAGACCAGUACAUUU